GCCAAAGUGGCAUAGUGGUUUGAGUGUUGGACUAUGACUGUAGAGACCAGGGUUCAUUUCCCCACUCAGCCA